rnacentral:rRNA from 1 species
AAUGAACGUUGGCGGCGUGGAUUAGGCAUGCAAGUCGUACGAGAAUCGUAGCAAUACGAGGAAAGUGGCGGAAGGGAGAGGAUUACGUGGGAAUCUACCCUCAGAACUGGGAUAGCGGCGGGAAACUGCCGGUAAUACCAGAUAAUGUCUGUGGACCAAAGGUGUGAUUCCGUCUGGGGAUGAGCCCACGUCCUAUUAGCUAGUUGGCAGGGUAAUGGCCUACCAAGGCAAUGAUGGGUAGCGGGUGUGAGAGCAUGACCCGCCUCACUGGGACUGAGAACUGCCCAGACACCUACGGGUGGCUGCAGUCGAGAAUCUUCGGCAAUGAGCGCAAGCUUGACCGAGCGACGCCGCGUGCGGGAUGAAGGCCUUCGGGUUGUAAACCGCUGUCGUAGGGGAGCAAGAGAUGAGGGUACUCCCUCUGAUUUGAGCGAUCCUAGGAGGAAGGACGGGCUAGUUCGUGCCAGCCGCCGCCGUAA